ensembl:lncRNA
AUGAAGAGACUCUUGAAAUGCUUGAUUAAGUGCAUUCUAAAGAAUUUCCCUAACGUGGAUGGCAGUGAGAUGGAGUCUCACUGUGUUGCCCAGGCUGGUCUCAAACUCCUGGGCUCAAGCAAUCCUCCCGCCUCAGGCUCUCAAAGAGCUGGGAUUACAGUCACCUCCACUGACAGCUGGCUUCAGCAGUCACCCAGCUGGAUGAGCUGCCCUGGAUCAGAGCAUUGUCUGUUAAUCACUAAUUCCACAAUUAUAAAAGAUAUUCUCCUGGCUGGGGCAUGGUGGCUCACAACUGUAACCCCAACACUUUGGGAGGCUGAGGUGAGUGGCUCGCUUGAGGCCAGGAGUUCGAGACCAGUCUAGGCAACAUGGCGAAACCCCAUUGCUACUAAAAAUACAAAAAUUAGCCAGUCUCAUAACCUGGUCUCAAAUAAAUAAAUAAAAAUAUUCUCCUAUAUUUGAUUUUACUCACUAUAUUGUUUUAUUUUGAAAUUGAAAUCUUAAUCCCAUCUGGAAUAUAUUUUUGGGCAGGCAGUGAGGUAGUGAUCUAGCUCUAUAUGUUUCUACAUGGCUAGUGAGUUAAGGAUAUUUAGGUGCUAGUAAAGGUGCUAACUCAAGCUAGCUUGAUAGGGGGAAAAAAGGGAAUUUAUUAUAAGAAUAUGGAGUAUUUCUCUGGAACCCAGAUCUUGGAUGGAGCUUAAUUUCCCAAACGGCUGGAAUCAGAGAAGGAAAUGGUGUCAGGAAUGCAAAGAGUAGCUUGUUGCCAUUCCUCAGCUCUGCUGCCCUCUGAGCCUUGGCUUCAUUCAUCUCUGUGGGUGGGCUUUCUCGGCUACUUGGUCUUGUUGGUGGAAGCUGUGUAUACCAAAGCUCAACACUUGAGCUUUUAGGUCUCCUCCCUUAAAGAUGCCAACCCUUCAGACUGGAAGAGACUCUUCUCAGUCUAGCUUGGGUCAGGAGUUCACCUCUGAUCCGACCAGCUUUGACUAGGGAACUUGGGUCACUUAAUGUGUACAUGGCUGUUGUGGACCCACUCCUGAAACCUUAUGAAUUGGAAAGGAGAAGAUAGAAGAUAGAAGUUCUCUGAGAAGAAUCACUGUGACCUGGGCAGACACAUCUACUACACUAUUUGUCCCAGCACCAUUUUUU